rnacentral:rRNA from 1 species
UACGUAGGGGGCAAGCGUUGUCCGGAUUUAUUGGGCGUAAAGAGCGUGUAGGCGGCCAGGUAGGUCCGUUGUGAAAACUGGAGGCUUAACCUCCAGCUGUCGAUGGAAACCAUCUGGCUAGAGUCCGGAAGAGGAGAGUGGAAUUCCUGGUGUAGCGGUGAAAUGCGCAGAUAUCAGGAAGAACACCCGUGGCGAAGGCGGCUCUCUGGGACGUGACUGACGCUGAGACGCGAAAGCGUGGGGAGCAAACAGG